AAAAUCUCGUAACUUCUAAGUGAACCAGGCAGUUUCCAAAACCUGCCUUUUAGCUAUUAAGCUAUAAAUAUUUGAAAAAAGUAUUUACAUUGACAAAUAACUAUGAAGUUUUUAGAACUUAUGAAGAUCAUGAUGAAGAAAAAACUAUUUGUAAUAUUAUCAAAUUGCUUAUUCCUUUCUGAAGUCAUUUAUUCAAUAUCAUUUAUUUGCAGAUAAUAGGUACCAGGCAUUGAGAAAUUCAGAAUAAAUAAGAAAAUGGAAUAAACAAAGGGUUAUAAAAAAAUCUAGGAUGGGUUAUUCAUUUUAAAAGAGAAUGGGGCUUAGGUGAAAAAAAGCAAAAAUAUACACAAGGACUUGAACAUUCUAACAUAAUGAGCAAGUCAUACCCUGCCAGAUGCACGAGAGUGGAUGACAGGAUGUGCUGGAAAGGAACAUGGGAAGUACCUAAAAUGAAAAGGACCUGAAAUGCAAUUCUAAAGAUUUCGUCUAAAAGAAAUGGCAAGUUGGCAGAUAAUUUUUAAAUUCAAGUGUAAAUAAUCUGAUAAGUAUUUUAGAAAGCUGACUGGAUGGUAUAAAGAGGGUGCAUUAGAGAAGGAAAAUAUGGGUGGCAGGGAGAUCUAUGAGGGUUUUGUGAUGGGUUGAAUGGUGUCCUCCCAGGAGAUAUGUUGAAGCCCUAUUUUUGGUACCUGUGAAUAUGACUUCAUUUGGAAAUAGGAUCUUUGCAGAUGAAAUCUAGUUAAGAUGGGUUCAUUAAGGUGGGCCCUAAUUCAAUAUGACUGUUUUCCUUAUAAAAAAAGGAAAAGACGGAGAAACGGGGAGAAGAAUGCCACAUAACAAUGAAGGUAGAGAAUGGGGUUACACAGCUACAGACCAGAGAACAUGAAGGACUGUCACCAACACCACUGCUAAGAGAAGGGCACAGAACAGGUUCUCCCGCAGAGCCUUUAGAGGAAGCAAGACCCUGUCAACAGCUUUUCUGAGUUCUAGCCUUCAGAACUGUGAGAGAAUAAAUUUCAGCUUAUGGUACUUUUUAUAUGACAGCCCAAGGAAACUAACACAAGUAUUGGUGGAACACUUCUUCAACAAAUAGCACUUGAAUUAAGGCAGUGGCAGUAAAAAUGGAGAGGAGGAGGUAUGUGGUAGACCAGGGAUAUAUUUGCUAAAGGACAAACGAAGUAAUGAGACUUAGAAACAGAACGAUGGAGCCACAAAGAAUGCCUGAAAUGGUAAUAGGAUACAUGCUGGAAUGUUGAUGGGCCCCAUUUCCACAAGCCUCCAAAUCUGCUUCUAGAUCCCAUUCAAGCAAGGGAGGAUUUGUUAAGAAGAAAGGCCCUUUGAGAGCACCAGUCCCUCCACCAGCCAGUCUAGUCCUAAGAGCUCUGAAGGCCAACCUUGGAGGUGGUUCAGGAGGGAAAAUGCAGGACCCAGGAUUUCAGUUGCCAAGCCAGAGAGCAGGGGACCCAGGAAAGAAUAUUGGCAUUCAUUUGAUUUUUCCAUCUUCUGAUAUAACCUUCAAAUGUUAAUAGUGUGUCGAAGAAUUUAUUGGAAAUGAGAAACAAGAAAACAGUGAGUCUAACCUAGUCAUUCUAGAAUUGGGAGGUAAUAGAAAAGAGAGAAAUGGGAAAGUUGCUCAAAUGCAAGUCCAGUGAAUCAGAGAGAAAAGGCUCAAAGCAGCAGAACAAAGCUUCAAUAAAGAGAUAUUGUGACUUGGAGAGAUGGCCUUUUGUCCUUUGUUCUAUUACCAGUCAGAGGAUGGGGAGCACACCCGAGCCUGAGACAACAGCUCUGCUAAGUGCCCUUGAGAGGGCACGGUGGGGUCAGCACCAAAGUCAGACCACUAAAGAGAAAAAGAGAGAAAGACAGGAUUGCAGAGGAGAAAUGAGAAUGGCAGAAAAAAUAAUUUUUUAAGCCAAAAGGAAUCAGAGAAGAGCAGAAGUGCCUCUAGGAUAAAGCGUAGCAGGCAGUUAGGGAAAAAGGGCUGUUAACUACCUUGAAGCUCUGACUACAUUAGAAAGCCUCGCAAGACAGUCGUUGCUUGCACGGGCAGUGACCUGAAAUCUUCAUAACCCUCUUCCUUUCUCCACUUAUCAACUAAGGGGUGGUUGGCAAUAAGGAUGGGUGGGAGAGAAAAAAAAACAGAAUUUGAGGAGGAGAGCAUUUAAACCAUCAGACUGUGUGUUCUGUGACAUCAAAGACUGGCAACAUUCUAAAGGAAAAGCAGCUGUGAAGUCAUAAUUAUGUUCACUUCCCACUGGCAACUGGCAAGCCCUUUAUUUUUGUGCAUUCGGAACUCACCAAGAAUAAAUAAAGUCCAUUCCCUCCUUGAGGGGCUAUUCUGCCAUUCCAUCUAGGAUUUAAAAGUUUGCCAAUUCCUAAAACAUCUAUUGUUAUCAAUAGUCUUGUGUCUUUCACAAAGCGGACUUUACAAAAUAAGUUAACAGGCCAUGAGAGGAACAGUCACACAUACCAAGAAAGGUACAUACGGAGAUAAUUCCAAUCAAAGUGAGCACAGCCUACGCAUAAACAGGAUUUUCCAAGAAAAAAGCAUUAAAGUGCCAUAGAAUAUUAAAGAGCAAUUAAAAGAAUGAAGAUCUCUUCAUAUGCUGGAUAGGCGGAGUGACCCAGCAAUCAUAUGGACACCAUCCAUUCCAGUGACACUCAAACUUCAGCGUGCAUCAGAAUCCCUGCAAGGCUUGCUAAGACACAGACUGCUGCGCCUACCUCAGAGUUCCUGAUUCAUCAAGCUUGAAGUAAGGCCUGAGAUUUUUGCAUUACUAACAAGUCUUCAGGUGAUACCAAUGCUGCUGAUCUGGAGACUGCCUUUGAGAGCCACUAUUCUAUCUCUUUCCCAAUCAACUGUCCUUUCUCACCUCCCUUUUAAAUCUCCAGCACCUGCUCCCUCAUGUUUACUCUCAAUGCACAAUCUUUUUUUCUCCUUCACUGACAGAAGUGAAACAAUUAAAAGAGAAUUUCCCCAGUCUCUCACUACUGCACCUGCUCACCCUCCCACAAGCACGUGUACUCACUGUGCUUUUCUUGCUGUUUUGAAAGGUGAAUUGUCUGUGGUCUUUCUAGAGCCAAUCUCUUCACAUGUGCACCAGAUUCCAAGACCUGCGGCCCACUCAAGGGCAUCCUGCAUGUCUUCUCCCAUCUCUUACCUUGUCAACUCUUUCCACUUUUUGAGUCAUCCUCCUCAGCACAAAAGAUUGUUACUCACUUAUCUUAAAAAGUAAAAGACUAAACCAACAAAAACAAGAAAAAACAGAAAUAAAACCUUUUACUGGACCCUCUCUCCCUACCAGGUAUGACUCCAUUUCUCUUUGCCUUUGCAGAAAAACAUUUAGAAAGGGGGUCUGUAUUAAUUCUAUCCAGUUCCUCUCCUCUCAUUCUCUCACAGACCCACUGAAAUCAGGUCUUAACUCUCAACAAAAUUGCUCUUACUGAGGUCUCAGAUAAACUUCAGGUUGCUAAAUCUCAUGGCCCACAUUUGGUCCUCUCACAUUUUACCCCCCUUGACAGAGAUGGCACCACUCCUUGAUACUUCUAUUUUUUUGGCUUGUAAGGCUUCCUAAUUCACUGGUUGCUAGUCUCAGAACUUUGCGAAUGACUUAUCUUUUCUUAUACCUCUUAGUCCUGGACUGACUUGCCCCAGAUUGUAGCUUCUUUUUUUAUCCACUCUCCUUCCUUUGGGGAUCUCAUCCAGUCUCCCUCUGUAUGCCCUUUGUUGCCAAAUUUACAUCUCCAGCCCUGAAUGCUCCUUUGCCUCAGACUCCAAAACUAUAUUCAAAGUCUCUCAUUUAGAUCAUUCAAACUUUUCAAGAGUGACUCCUGAUCUUCUCCCAAAUAUCUGAGCUGCUCAAAGCUUUCCAUCUCAGUAGAUGAAAAAUUCACCCCUCUAGUGCUUAGGUCAAAAAUCUUUGAGUCACCCUUGUUUCCUCUCUUUAUUACUCCCACUGUACAUCCGAUUCACCAGGAAGUCUUCCUGUGUUUACCCUAAACAUAAUUCAGAGACCAAUUACUCCUCACCACCUCCAUGGCUAUCACUUUCAUCAGACUUGCUAGAUUUUAGCAAUCGUCUUAUAACUGUUUUCCCAUUCCCACCCUUGCCUCCUUCCAUUCUAUUGCCCACAAAGAAGUAUAAGUGAUCCUUUUGAAACAUAAGUCAGAUCAUGGCAUUUCUUUCCCAAAAAGAAAUGCAAGUGUCUAAAUUCUUCGCCUACCUCAGAGUAAAAGUCCAAGUUCUUAUAUGGCCUUUAAAGACCUCUGUGUACUCUCCUCCUCCCUCCGUUAGCUCUCUGAUCUUCCCUUCUUCUUUUCUUCCUCAUCCUACUCUGCUCCAGCCACGCAGUCUUUCUGGCUAUUUCUUGAACAUAGUAAACAUGAUCCCUCCUCUGAGCUUUGAGUUGUUUCCUUUGCCUGGGAAAUUCCAUCUGGAGACUUCCGGGCUUGCUCACCUAUAUAGGCAAGUCUGUACAUGAGACCUGCUCUGACCACUCAAUUUAAAAUGGCAGCAAAAUCCUUCCUGGCACCCCACCUUUAAAAUGGCAACAAAAGCCUUCCUGGCACCUUUCCUUUCUAGCUUUGGACCUAUUACAUAAUCUAUGUAUCUUUUGUGUUAUCAUCUGCCUUCCCCGCUAGUAUGUAAACUCCACAAAGGUUGAGAUUUUUGUUUGGUUCACUGAUGUAUCCCAAGAACAUAAUUCAGUAUCUAACUUGCAGUGGAAACUCACCAAGUAUUUAUCAAAUUAUUUGAUAAAUGAAUGUGAUGAUAAAUGAAUGUGACUGUAAAAUGAUACUUUAUAGUCACUGGAGAAAUCAGUCUCUGACAUCCCCAGGAACAAAAUCAACAUUCUUUGGAAUAGUCAUUGAUAAAGGGUUCAUAACUUUUUGUGCCAUGGACUUCUUUGGCAGUCUGUCGAAGCCUAUGAACCCCUUCACAGAUUAGUAUUUUUAAAUGUACAAAAUAAAAUCGAUAAACUACAAAUGUAGUAAAUUAUUUUAUCAGAACAUUUUUAAAAUUAUAAAACAAAUUUGUAGCUAAUAGUAAUACACAUACUUUGUUAUCCAUUAAUUGACAACAUCUGGUAGUGGUUCUAAUAACGACCAUAAUUUUGAAGUACUGAUGUCUAUGAAUGAUAUUUCAAGAUGUCUGUAAUAACUCUAAUGUGAUACGAAUGUAUCUGUAAUUUCCAUUGUGAACAAAGUCACUGGUACUGCUAAUAGCACCAUGGUUUCUUGCCUAUAUUCAUAAAUGAAGGAAAUGUUAAAUUUUAGCUAGUUAAAAAAAAAAAAUGAAAAUGAGGUUGUAUUUUCUACAGAUACUUAAAUGAAUGCUUUGGAAACACUUGUAAGGAGUAGAAAUAAAAGCAGAAAGACUUUCCCCUUUCUUACUCCCCCAAAAGGUGCUACUGAAUUGUUGCAGAUAAGGAAAUUGUAAGAUAAUUGAAAAAAAUGAUAAAAAUCUGGAAGAAUUCUGUACCAAGACUGUUUUUGCUUUUGCAAGUGUCUAAAUUCUUGUUCUACUUUAAUAGAAUCAAAUCUGGAAAUUAUCAGAGUGAUGAUGUACGUGGUUCAUAUAAAGCAGACAAUGUGGAACUCCAAGUAUCUGAACAAUCAGAUCAAAAUACCCAGACUACAUAUCAAGAAAGCAGGCUGAGUGUGAUGGUUCAUGCCUGUUAUCCCAGCACUUUGGGAGGCUGAGGCAGGAGGAUUGCUUAG
rnacentral:lncRNA from 1 species